GACGAACGCUGGCGGCGUGCCUAAUACAUGCAAGUUGAGCGCUGAAGGUUGGUACUUGUACCAACUGGAUGAGCAGCGAACGGGUGAGUAACGCGUGGGGAAUCUGCCUUUGAGCGGGGGACAACAUUUGGAAACGAAUGCUAAUACCGCAUAACAACUUUAAACACAAGUUUUAAGUUUGAAAGAUGCAAUUGCAUCACUCAAAGAUGAUCCCGCGUUGUAUUAGCUAGUUGGUGAGGUAAAGGCUCACCAAGGCGAUGAUACAUAGCCGACCUGAGAGGGUGAUCGGCCACAUUGAGACUGAGACACGGCUCAAACUCCGACGGGAGGCAGCAGUAGGGAAUCUUCGGCAAUGGACGAAAGUCUGACCGAGCAACGCCGCGUGAGUGGAGAAGGUUUUCGGAUCGUAAAACUCUGUUGGUAGAGAAGAGCGUUGGUGAGAGUGGAAAGCUCAUCAAGUGACGGUAACUACCCAGAAAGGGACGGCUAACUACGUG
rnacentral:rRNA from 1 species